AGAACAUCUUCAUCCUAAAUCUUCUCUCCCAGCAUGUAUUCAUAAUCUUGACCUGCGUUUCGAGUAGAAGCCAAUUCUUGUAGAGUGUGCCUGGGCUCAGCCUAGGCUCCUCACUCAUGGUGAGAUUCAGGCUAUGCAUUUUUGGCGGGAGCACCCCCGAAAAGUGAUGUUGUGUCAUCUUCAGUACAUCGUCUCCGGAAGCCCUCAAGGUCAAUUUGUCUCAUUGCUAGUGGUGGUAAUUUAGACACUUGAUGAAGAAGAUGCUGUCGGCCGGAUUUCUCCACUGUAAAGCUAUUAUUUUCCCCUUUGUAGUAAAUAAGUAUUAACAGUACAAUACUUUGAUGCCAUGAAAAUACUCUUUUUUCUCAUCCACCUUUCAUCUGCUGGUUUCAGCAUUUGUUGAAGAUCCCCCCUCCUUCGUUAAUUGUUAGUUACUACAGUAAUUGCCAAAGGGUAGUUUUUGAAUACAUCUUGCCUUUAUUUAUUGGCUGACAUUCUCCUCCAAGAAAGAUUUUCAUCUUCUCCCGUAUUAAUUUAUUUGCUUAUUUAUUUUUAAAUAAUACUACAGACACGGAUUC
rnacentral:lncRNA from 1 species